rnacentral:lncRNA from 1 species
AAUUGAGUGGUGUUCGGUAAACAUCCUUUUCUGUCACCUUCUUCCUCGAGCUUUGAAGCUCCGCAAAUCUCUCUCCAUGCAAAUUGCGAUAGCAUGUUUCAAUUUUCAAAUUGAACCUUCCUAGGCUAGCAUCUUCAUUUCUAUUUGUCAUCUUGCACAAAAGGGUUUUGUCUUAGCCUCUUAGGGAAUACGGAUUUAGGUUUAGGGUUAGACAAAAACCCUCUUAGGUUUAGGGUUAAAAUCCAUUUCAAUUGGGUAGAAAAAUGAAUUUCGGUUUCUGCUGCGCAACUUUUUGCGUGAAGAAGUCAUGGUUGAUAAGACAACUGAUCAUGGAUCCAUCAUUCUCAAAUCUCAAACACUCCGAUUUGGGCACUGGUAUUGUGCUCCGGCAAGAGCCCGUAAUAGCUAAGAAUCCUAACCGAUAUUUUGUCAAAGAUUUCUUCUGAGGUCUGCUGUAAUGGACCUCAAACCUUAAAUUCAUAUCCAGCGAAUAAACCUUUCUAUUACAGCAUGCAUGGUUCAUCCUCGUUUUGUCUAUGACUCAGACGACACAUCUUUGCUCUCCUUUCCACAACCUUCUCGAAGAGGAACCAACCAUCUGAGGGUCUUUUCCUUUUUAGUCUUCCAAUUAUAAUCAGCUAGCGUGAGUGGUUUUGCUACUUUCAUCCCUGUAUUUGAAGGAUUUGAUCCUUUUAAGGUUUUUUUGCUGGCAUCUAUUUGGUUGCUUUUGAUAAAGCUUUUUCUCUGUUCGUUUCGUUGGAAUACUUAUCUGUUAUAAUUAUGCUUAUUAUAUAUGGUGAGUAUCAUAAUUUAUAUCGAUGAAAACAAUCUAAAUCAUAAAACAUUAUGUUGAUUUUGAGACUUUUCUUUGCUUUAAGCUACGAGUUAUUUGAUAUUAACAGUAAACUCCUUUUGCUUUACUAUGUCUCCCUGCAUUUGUGCAGGCUCUUCAAUCUUUCUCUUUUGUAUCUAUAUUUUUAUUUUGGUUCUUUUUUU